GGGCGGAGCCGAAUGCCAGUGGGCGCUGCAGGUCUCCGCGGAGCGUCACUGUGUUCGCCGACUGAGGUCGUCUCCGCUUUGGUGGUCACCCCGGAACUGGCUGUGGCUCUUGGGAGCUAUAAGGCGCUUGGGGCGGAGUUGUUCAGGGGGUGCAGCAUCACCCCGCCUCUUCCUGCAGUAGCCAUGGCGAAAGGCAGAGUCGCCGAAAGAUCACAGACGAGGGCACUCCAGACAACCCCGCCGGGGGACCGGGCAGCCGGGACGCAGGGUCCCACAGCGCCGGGCAGCAGAGACCACCUCAAGGAAAAAGCCUGUGCAGAAGCUGGAUCAGCAAGAACGUCACUUCUUAUAUUGGUGUCCAUUUUCUUAUCUGCAGCUUUUGUAAUGUUUUUGGUAUACAAAAAUUUUCCUCAGCUUAGUGAAGAAGAAAGAGUGAAUAUGAAGGUUCCCAGAGAUAUGGAUGAUGCCAAGGCUCUAGGAAAAGUUUUAUCCAAAUAUAAGGACACCUUUUAUGUACAAGUACUUGUAGCUUAUUUUGCUACAUAUAUUUUCUUGCAGACAUUUGCUAUUCCAGGUUCUAUAUUUCUCAGUAUACUCUCAGGGUUUCUUUAUCCCUUUCCACUAGCCUUAUUUCUUGUUUGUUUGUGUUCUGGACUCGGUGCCUCAUUCUGCUAUAUGCUCUCCUACUUAGUUGGGAGACCCGUUGUAUACAAAUAUCUAACAGAGAAAGCAGUAAAAUGGUCACAGCAGGUUGAACGGCAUAGAGAACAUCUCAUUAACUACAUUAUAUUUUUGAGAAUAACACCAUUUCUGCCUAAUUGGUUUAUUAAUAUUACAUCUCCUGUGAUAAAUGUGCCAUUGAAAGUUUUUUUUAUUGGCACAUUUCUAGGUGUCGCACCUCCCUCUUUUAUAGCCAUUAAGGCAGGAACAACACUGUACCAGCUUACAACAGCAGGGGAAGCUGUUUCCUGGAACUCAGUAUUUGUUCUAAUGAUUCUGGCUCUUCUUUCUAUACUGCCAGCCAUCUUCCAAAAAAAACUAAAGCAGAAAUUUGAGUAAAAAAUCAUCUGGGUUUUCGUUUUCCUAUCAUCAUCAACAUCAUCAUCAUCAUCAUCACCAUCAUCAUCAUCAUCAUUAUCAUCUCAGGACUGGCAGGUUUAUGUGUUAAAAUCACCUCUUCAGUAAUUGAAACAAGGAAUUUGUAAAAUAAAAUUUCCUAUCAGAUAGUUAAAAUAAUGCCUUUAAGUGGCAAGAGAGAGAAAAAAGAAUGGAAAUUGAUAUACCAUGAAAAGUACUGUCAGUACUUACAGUAGCCAUCUUCUAAAUUAUUAUUCUUAGGAUUCCCAUACUUGGCCUGAUGCCAGAUAUAGAUUCAAGCUUCAGCCACAUCUUGAAGACAGUUACAUAUAAUAACCACAGAGAGCAAGUAUGUGUAAUGAGAAGGCCUACAAGCUAACUAGCAAGUUGACACACUGACUAAGUGAGACUGUACCCUUC